CUCUAUUAUUUACAGAAAUCGAACCCGAACUCUAAACUAUAUUUAAUUUAUGAUUCAUUAGCACCGCAACGUAGUUCUUUU
rnacentral:tRNA from 1 species